GACGAACGCUGGCGGCGUGCUUAACACAUGCAAGUCGAACGGAAAGGCCCUGCUUUUGUGGGGUGCACGAGUGGCGAACGGGUGAGUAACACGUGAGUAACCUGCCCUUGACUUUGGGAUAACUUCAGGAAACUGGGGCUAAUACCGGAUAGGAGCUCCUGCUGCAUGGUGGGGGUUGGAAAGUUUCGGCGGUUGGGGAUGGACUCGCGGCUUAUCAGCUUGUUGGUGGGGUAGUGGCUUACCAAGGCUUUGACGGGUAGCCGGCCUGAGAGGGUGACCGGCCACAUUGGGACUGAGAUACGGCCCAGACUCCUACGGGAGGCAGCAGUGGGGAAUAUUGCACAAUGGGCGGAAGCCUGAUGCAGCAACGCCGCGUGCGGGAUGACGGCCUUCGGGUGGUAAACCGCUUUCGCCUGUGACGAAGCGUGAGUGACGGUAAUGGGUAAAGAAGCACCGGCUAACUACGG
rnacentral:rRNA from 1 species